GACGAACGCUGGCGGCGUGCUUAACACAUGCAAGUCGAACGGAAAGGCCCCUUUGGGGGUACUCGAGUGGCGAACGGGUGAGUAACACGUGAGUAACCUGCCCUUGACUUCGGGAUAACUUCAGGAAACUGGGGCUAAUACCGGAUAGGAAUCCUUGCUGCAUGGUGGGGGUUGGAAAGCUUCGGCGGUUUUGGAUGGACUCGCGGCUUAUCAGCUUGUUGGAGGGGUAGUGGCUUACCAAGGCUUUGACGGGUAGCCGGCCUGAGAGGGCGACCGGCCACAUUGGGACUGAGAUACGGCCCAGACUCCUACGGGGGGCAGCAGUGGGGAAUAUUGCACAAUGGGCGGAAGCCUGAUGCAGCAACGCCGCGUGCGGGAUGACGGCCUUCGGGUUGUAAACCGCUUUCAGCAGGGGCGAAGCUUGUGGUGACGGUACCUGCAGAAGAAGCACCGGCUAACUACGUG
rnacentral:rRNA from 1 species